rnacentral:misc_RNA from 1 species
UACAGAAACCCCGAGCGUUACCCGGAUUCACUGGGCGUAAAGGGUGCGUAGGCGGUUAUAUUAGUUAGAUGUUAAAUCUUUGGGCUUAACCCAAAGGCUGCAUUUAAAACGGUAUAACUAGAAGAAGUGAGAGGUGAACAGAACUCUCGGCGUAGGGGUGAAAUCCGUUGAUAUCGAGGGGAAUACCAAAUGCGAAGGCAGUUCACUGACACUUUCUUGACGCUGAGGCACGAAAGCGUGGGUAGCGAACGGG